rnacentral:misc_RNA from 1 species
UUUCCGUAGGUGAACCUGCGGAAGGAUCAUUACAGAACUCGAACGCGGGGCCCGCCCCGCGGUUUGUUCAUCCCACCCCUAUGUGAACCUCUGGCACACGUGGACCGGUACGGGCCUUGCCGCCCGGAAAGUCUGCGCGUGCGUACCUACCGUACCCCAGUGCAAGUCUCAGGAUGUACCUUGCGUUUGACCGCAAUAUAUACAACUUUCAGCAACGGAUCUCUUGGCUCUCGCAUCGAUGAAGAACGCAGC